rnacentral:rRNA from 1 species
GUAACACCGGCGGCUCGAGUGGUAACCGUUAUUAUUGGGUCUAAAGGGUCUGUAGCCGGCCGGAUAAGUCUCUUGAGAAAUCUGGCAGCUUAACUGUCAGGCUUUCAGGAGAUACUGUCUGGCUCGAGGCCGGGAGAGGUGAGAGGUACUUCAGGGGUAGGGGUGAAAUCUUGUAAUCCUUGAAGGACCACCAGUGGCGAAGGCGUCUCACCAGAACGGACCUGACGGCAAGGGACGAAAGCUAGGGGCACGAACCGGAUUAGAUACCCGGGUAGUCCUAGCCGUAAACGAUACUCGCUAGGUGUCGGCCACGGUGCGACCGUUGUCGGUGCCGUAGGGAAGCCGUGAAGCGACCC